GUCCCGAGCACGUGGCGAUCGGAUCACGCGCUUUCGUAGGGCUCUGCGAUUGUGUGAGCUCAGAGCUCAUUGUGCCAUCAGUUCAGAGGUCCCUGGAUACCCAGGAAGGGUGUCAAAUAAGCACCGGUUUGAUCUCUUUACACCAUGGUACCAUAGGUACACCGUCUGUGUCUACAGGCGCACACACCACGCACAGGCGCACACACACCACGCACAGGAACACACACAUCAGGCACAGGCGCGCACACACCACGCACAGGCGCGCACACCACGCACAGGCGCACACACAUCACGCACAGGCGCACACACACCACGCACAGGCGUACACACAUCACGCACAGGCGCACACACCACGCACAGGCGUACACACAUCACGCACAGGCACACACACACCACGCACAGGCGCACACACCACGCACAGGCACACACACACCACGCACAGGCACACACACACCACGCACAGGCGCACACACACCACGCACAGGCACACACACACCACGCACAGGCGCACACGCGC
ensembl:lncRNA